rnacentral:lncRNA from 1 species
UAACACGGCGAGAUGGGGAAAGAAUCUAAUUUUUCUGGUAUCGCCUGCUCUGUUCGUUUCCUUUAUUACUGUUGUGAUUGGCUGUUGAAGUUUUCAAACGUGUUUCCUGAUUGGUGCACUUAUCACACACCUGCUGGAGGCUCUGGCUGCUAGUUCCGAAAUUAGACACAACGACAGACGAUUCCCCCCAUGUCGUGAACCAACCAGGGUUCUAUGACUCUGGUCUCCGUUAUUCUUUGCUUAUUCGAAGACCAGUUGCUGCCUGAGUGGCAGCAGUGCACCUCAAUUACCAUUACCAUUACCAUUACCAUUACCAUUCUGUGUUUGUUCCCCUGUCCCCUCGCCGCAUCAACAGGAAAAAAACGAAAAGGGAUUAGCCGGCUAAGUUACAGAUGUGGGCUGAGUUGACUACUGUAAUGACUGCAGGACUGACAAAAAAUUUGAUAAAUUAACUUUUGAUUGAUGGUGACAUGUGGUGCAAGGAGAAAUCCAUAUGAAACUUUGCUGCAAAGUUUACUUUUUCAGGUAGCCUAUUGACCACAUUGACUCAAUUUUUGAAAACUGUAUGUUCAAUGGGGGAAACACAUUUUGAACAAUGUUGGAUUCAUCUCAUCUGGAAAAAAUUUAUAAGUCAGAGAAAAUAAGGUUGAAUUUAAAGAACAAUUGACGAAGACAUUGGUUUUGUGUUGGCAUCUGAACCAGUAUGGAACUAAUUAGUUAUGUGGAUUCAAUUUGCUUCUGGACAGGGACUCGCAGCACAGCAGCUCUAUGGUUAUUUGCGAGUGGAAUUUUACCUGACAGCACAUAUUAGCCACAGAUCCUUGAAACAAAUGUAGGAAAAUAAAUACUGUUGCUCAAAUCCUAGAAAAUAUUUCAAAGUCAGUUCACCAGAUUGUUGACUAUAUUUUGUGUCAUUAACAUUUGAAAUAGUUCCACAUAACAUAUUUGUUAUUCCUUAAAAAUAGCUGUAUACAUCUGUUGGAUGUAAUCAAGCUUAUGAAGAAUUACCCAUGUAAAAGCAAUUCAGGCAGCAAACCUGAUGACUUGGGGGCUGAAGUACAAAAAGAGGAUGGAACAAGGUUCCAGAAGACAUGGUAUUUAAAAUCAUCUGCUAUUAAAAUCAACUCAAUGAGUGGCAUGGCCAGUACUGCUGAAGGACUGUCCAAUCGAAGCUUUGAUAGAACAUGAAAGCCUUGACGACUUCAUAUCUAUUGAACGAUUGGGGAUCAUCCAUAGUUUUUUUUUUUUUUUUUUACAUCAGUUUGAUUACUUCUAACCACCGUUGACGAAGUCUUCCGCAGCAUGCGAAAUUGAGCAGACGAUAAUGAAGAAAAUAUGAACGUGAUGUCAGUGAAAUCUGUUUUGGCUGAUUCCUCAGUUGAUGAGCUAUUCUGAUUUCAGGACUCAACUUUAGACAAGGGAUUUAAACCAUACUGGAUAGGAGGUUUUAUUAGAAUUACAGAAGAUUUUAAUCAGAAUGUUUUGCCAGGAGCUUCGGAAGAACAUUGAUUGCAAGGAUUCUUUGGCUAAGUUUGAUAAGAAAGGCUUUCAACUAAUCUUAUUUUAUUUUCUUAAUAUGGAUUUCUAACUGUAGUGAAUUACUCAGCAUCUUUCAAACUUCAACACACAGCAUCAUUUACUUCUAUACAGUCGGAGAUCAAGUUCUGUUAAGAUGCACAGUACUUGACUUGAUCUUUGACAUUUCAUUUAUGGUUUGCAUUGCUUACUAUUACAUUCAGUUUGAUUUCACA